GACCUGCCCAGCCCCCCAGGAUCCAGGCCAGGAUUUCCCUGCAGCCCGCAUUCCCCAUGAAAUCCAGGCCGGGUUUUCCCCUGGUUCCCAAUUCCACUGUAAAUCCAGGCCGGGCUUUCCCGAAUCCCCAAUUCCAGCCCCAAAUUCCAGCUGUUUCUCCCCCAUUCCCAUUCCCAAUCCCAAUUAUCUCCCUCAUUCCCGCUCCCACUUGUCUCCCCCAGUUCCCGGUUAUUCCUGUUCCCAUCCCUGUUUCCAUUCCCAAUUAUCCCUCAUUAUUCCCAUUUCCACUCCAGGUUAUUCCCACUCCCUAUUCCCAAUUAUUCCAGUUUCCAUUCCCAAUUAUUUCCGUUCCAUUCCCACUCCCGUUUCCGUUCCCAAUUAUUAUUCCCAGUUAUUCCUGGUCAUUCCAGUUCCUGUUUCCAAUCCUGGUUAUUCCCCGUUAUUCCCCAUUUCCAUUCCCGGUUAUUCCCAUUUCCAAUCCCAGUUAUUCCCCGUUCCCAAUUAUCCCCAGUUAUCUCCGUUCCCCGUUAUUCCCAGUUAUUCCUGUUUCCGUUCCCGUUUCCAUUCCCAGUUAUCCCCAGUUAUCCCCGUUCCCGGUUAUCCCUGGUUAUUCCCGUUCCCAUUCCCGUUCCAAUUCCCGGUUAUUCCCAUUCCCGUUUCAUCCCCGGUUAUUCCCAUCCCCAUUCCCGGUUAUUCCCAUUCCCCAUUCCCAGUUAUCCCCAGUUACUCCCAUUCCCCAUUCCCGGUUAUUCCCGUUCCCAUUCCCGGUUAUUCCCAUUUCCAUUCCCAUCCCAUUCCCGUUCCCAUCCCCGGUUAUUCCCAUCCCCAUUCCCGGUUAUUCCCAGUUAUUCCCGUCCCCAUUCCCAUCCCAUUCCCGUUCCCAUUCCCGGUUAUUCCCAUUCCCAUUCCCGAUUAUUCCCGUCCCAUUCCCGGUUAUUCCCGUUCCAUUCCCGGUUAUUCUCGCUCCAUUCCCGGUUAUCCCCGGUUAUUCCCGUCCCGUCCCCGGUUAUUCUCCGGCGGUACCUGCCGGGGUCGUGCCGUCUCCGGGCCGGUUCCGUGGGGGUGUCCCCGGUGCCGCCAUCCCCGCCCCGCUCGUGGCUCCCGCUGCGGCUGCCGGGACCCGAACCGGGAACAUCUGCACCGGGA
rnacentral:lncRNA from 1 species